GAAGCCAAUAAAUUCAGCAAUCUGCAAAACAGUUCUAAUAGUGUAAGGCCUACACAAACGUUAAAGAUUUCACAAACCAAACAUGAAAAGUGCUAAAGGAGGAUUCAACUGACUGCAUAAACUUCACAUAAUCCUUUCCAUUCAUGAAUAUUACAACUUCAAGAUGCAGCUAGCUGCAGCAGACAUUUGUUAUCCUAACUAUUACCUGAAUGGCAUCAUAAAAUUCUAGAAAUUGAACAGAAAAGUUCACCAAUAAUCAAAUAUGCCACAUAGGUCAUAUGCAAACAAGGAUUAAACAAUGUGAAACAAGAGAGAGGGAGAGACAUAUGGAGGAUGACCACAUUGCCACUUCUUAAUACUAAAUUUUACUUUCAAGACUAUACAUAAUCAUCAACAGGAUCUCUAACACAGUGAUCAUGGUUAGAAGUGGUAGUAUUCACUGGCCAUUGGAAAAAGACAGAGAAAGGUUGCCUUGAAUCUUGAUAGGGUGUGGAUUUAAUGUUUACAAUUCCAUUCACCUUUUGCUUAACUCAAAAUCACCAUUUGCUAUGCAAAUCCUAGCUUUAGGUUUGAUAAUCCAGUAUAAAUAUCGUAAAUUAUGUGCCCAAACUGUGUUCAAUUAGAAUCAGCAGAUUAGCAGCGUCUCAGCAUCUAUAUAAGAACAACAAUUAAUGAUCCCAACAACUCAAGUUUCCCUAGUACUGUCCAAAUAAGCAUAUCUAUCUAUUGACUGAAAUGAAAAGAUUUCGAUUAAGCACGUCAAGAAAUUGAAAAACAAUGUACCAAACAUAAUGGGUAUGGCUGAGAAGAAAAAUAAGGAAAGCAAUUACAUCAGACAAUAAAGGCAUCAAUUAUAUGAAAGAAUGUCAAACCACUUGGUUAAGCUAUGUGUAGACAAAAAGUCAAAGCAAAGAAUGACGUGUUACACUGUAUUUUGUUGAUGCUGUCAAGGUAUCAAAGCUUAGGCAUAAUGACCCAUUGAAAUUCUGGUUCUACUCUUAACACAAAAUGGAACAGGUACAUAAAUACAAGUUGGUUUCAACUUUUAGGUUUCCUUCUUAUCAAAUAGGACAGUUAGAUUUUUAUUAUCACCAUUCACCAGAGUAGUAAAUGCCACACCAAAACAGAAAAAAUAAGUCAAUGAAUCAUGUAAUAUACAUGAUAUUUAUUGCAGUCAAGGACCCAAAUAUUGUCAUAAUAGGAGAUGAACAAGAGGGUGUUACUUGACUCAAAUAUCUAUUUGGUCACUUUUAGAACAAAGAUUUAGGAAAGCUCAAGUACUUUCUGGGUAUUGAAGUAACACAAUCCAAUAUGGGCAUUGUUAUUUCACAAAGGAAACACGAAUCGGAUAUCCUAGAAGAAACUGGCAUGCUAGACUACAAACACGUACAUAUCCCCAUGGAGGAGCCAUUGAAAGACCCUAGUCAAUAUCAGAGACUUUUUGGUAAACUCAAUUUUCUCACAAUCGCACGAUCAAAUAUUUCUUUUGCAGUAAAUGUGGAUAGUUUCUUCAAACUCUUUGUGAUAAUCAUUGGAAUGCAGUAAUCCAUAUACUUAGAUGUAUCAAAGAAGCCCUAGGACAAGGACUAUCGCAUUAACUAUGAAGACAGAAAACAAAUACAAAUUGUUGGAUAUUCUAAUGAGAUUGGGCAUUUUCUCCCUCAAACAGACAAUCUACUUCAGGAUAUUGUGCCCUAAUUGGAGGAACCCUAAUAUCUUUGAAGGGUAUAAAGUAGGAUGUAGCGGCCAUAUCAGGUGUAAAAGCAGAAUACCGAGCUAGAGCCUUAGCAACUUGUGAGCUUAUUUAGUUAAAACAACUUCUUCAAAAAUUGAGAUGUGAAGAUAUCAAACAAAUGAAGUUGAUUUAUGACAAUCAAGCAUCACUGCAUAUUGCCUUAAAUUCAAUUUUUCACGAAAGAACAAAAAAUAUAGUGGUAGAUUGUCACUUUAUCAGACAAAAGAUUGAGUCAAGAUGUAUUGCUAUUAGUUUUGUCAAUUCAAACAACCAGUUAGUAUAAAUCCUUAAUAAAUCCCUUAGAAGGUCUCAGAUUGAUUACAUUAGUGACAAGUUAGGAACAUAUGAUAUGUAUGCUCCAGCUUAAGGGGAAGAUAUGGAUAUGUGCGUUAAGAUUAUGCAAGUAAAUGUGAGCUAGGAUUAUGCUUGUAAAUGUGCCUAUAGAUAUGUCCUAUAAAUUUUUAGCAUACUAUUCUCAAUGUAUGACUUGACAGUGUGUAUAUAUAUAUACCUAAAAGCUUGAGGGAAUAAUCAAGCAAU
rnacentral:misc_RNA from 1 species